rnacentral:rRNA from 1 species
UACGGAGGGUGCAAGCGUUAUCCGGAUUUACUGGGUUUAAAGGGUGCGUAGGUGGGUUGGGAAGUCAGUGGUGAAAUACUUUCGCUUAACGAAGGAACUGCCAUUGAUACUAUCAAUCUUGAAUGUAGUGGAGGUAGGCGGAAUGCGUCAUGUAGCGGUGAAAUGCUUAGAUAUGACGCAGAACACCAAUUGCGAAGGCAGCUUGCUACACUAUUAUUGACGCUGAGACACGAAAUCGUGGGGAUCAAACAGG